rnacentral:tRNA from 2 species
UGGCCUGUAGCCAAGCGGUAAGGCAAUGGAUUUUGGCUCCAUCACGCGAAGGUUCGAAUCCUUCCAGGCCAGCCA